rnacentral:rRNA from 1 species
GGACUGCGGAAGGAUCAUUACCGUGUGUAGGGUUCCUAGCGAGCCCAACCUCCCACCCGUGUUUACUGUACCUUAGUUGCUUCGGCGGGCCCGCCAUUCAUGGCCGCCGGGGGCUCUCAGCCCCGGGCCCGCGCCCGCCGGAGACACCACGAACUCUGUCUGAUCUAGUGAAGUCUGAGUUGAUUGUAUCGCAAUCAAUUAAAACUUUCAACAAUGGAUCUCUUGGUUCCGGCAUCGAUGAAGAACGCAGCGAAAUGCGAUAACUAGUGUGAAUUGCAGAAUUCCGUGAAUCAUCGAGUCUUUGAACGCACAUUGCGCCCCCUGGUAUUCCGGGGGGCAUGCCUGUCCUAGCGUCAUUGCUGCCCAUCAAGCACGGCUUGUGUGUUGGGUCGUCGUCCCCUCUCCGGGGGGGACGGGCCCCAAAGGCAGCGGCGGCACCGCGUCCGAUCCUCGAGCGUAUGGGGCUUUGUCACCCGCUCUGUAGGCCCCGCCGGCGCUUGCCGAACGCAAAUCAAUCUUUAUCCAGGUUGACCUCGGAUCAGGUAGGGAUACCCGCUGAACUUAAGCAUAUCAAUAAGCGGAGGAAGAUCGUUACCGAGUGUAGGGUUCCUAGCG